UCGGAGCAUCGUGACCGCUCGAUCUAAUCUCAUAGUCUCCGCUCUCACAUCCAUGUUCGAUCGAUUUUCGAGGCAAUUCGCUCCCCACCUUCCUUGUUUCUGCAGCUAAUCACGUAUCAAAUCGGGGGACCAAUACAAAUUAAGUAGAGUAGAAAUUAUUUCCUUCCGCAUAUGUCACUCCCGGAAAAAAUCUCACAUGAAUCUCCUCUCCCUCUCGAUCCAAUUGCGCCGCCGCCUCACCACCAACCUGGCCGGCCAUCCCAGCCACCACGUCCCUCGCGCUGCCACCGCUUUUUUCAGCGGAGUCAGGGCCUCGGAAGGAGCCGCCGUUUACUCUACGCUUCGGGGACGCACACGCCGCCACCAUCCUCAACAACCGCGGCGUCGGGACGCCCUGGGGAGGUACGGUGGCGGAAGGAGGAAGUGCCUUGCAGCACAUGGAUGCCCAGGAUGUUGCUCUGUUUUUCAAGGUCAAGGUUUGAGCAUGGGACAUCACUUCUCAAGCCAACAGGUUACUUCACCCCCAUGCGGCAUCAGAAUCCAUCUAUUCAUCCUCCAUGAUCCGUCUACCUCGUAAGUGAGAUGGUCGCGGUCAGAUAUAUAUAGGAGAGCAGCAGGAUAGAGUGUGAACUUGAUAUGUACAUGGAUUCCCAGUCGACUGGUUGGGAUGCAUGAAAGGAGCAUAUCCGCCGCCGAUUCGCUCGACGUGUACAAUGUCUUUUGCCAUCUCAAGUUCAUGUGCAGCUACGCAAUGAAAUAUGUCCCGAUUGACCUACAUGUGGAGGACUUCAAGGCCUGACCAGCCCAGCAGGGAUUACGUGUUUGGUUAUGAGCGACGCAGGUCUGCCUGAUUUUGACUGAAAGAUGUAUUAUGUGUCCCUAACUAAUUAGCCAUACAAUUUAACAGGUGAUUGAUUAUAUUCUGUAUUGCCACAAUGGUCACGAAACUUCUUGCUGAAGUUCUCUCCCAGCUGAAACUGAAUAUUAGAGUGACUCAUUUCAGAUAGUCACAAACUGCAAGGACUAAGGUCUCGGAUGAAUCCACAAGGUCAAAGGGUGUGAUAUUAGUUAAUUCUGAUGCUCAUACAUGUAGUUCCCAUUUUCACAUAUUUUACUAGAAUCUCAUGUACAUUCAUCAUAAAGUUAUUUGCAUUUACAAGGUUAGGAUUCCUGCUGGUAGAGAAAAGUACUUACAUAGAAUUGGAGGACAUUAUGGAAAGGCAAGGAAGGGCAGGACAUGUUGCUACUCCCUGUUGAAGUCAUUUUCUUACUAACGUUAAAGAUUUGUCGGUAUCAGAGCCUAUGACACUUCAUUUGAUUCAAGCAUUCAAACAGACAAUUUUAGUACUUGUGUAUCUUGUUCUGAAAUUUGACCAGUCUGGUGCAAAUAUAGCAAUGGUUGAUUAUAUUUUGUAUUGCCGCAAUGGUGCAAACCUGAAGUCAAUUUUCUGAUAUGUGCUUCACUUGACAGGUGGAAGGUGCACCAAGAAGAGUUGAGAUGAAUAGAAAACACUCAAGAACUUUCUGUCAUCCAUGUGCUCUUCCGGAGAUGUUUUAAUGAUGCAAGAUAUUACCUGUCUAGGUUAUUUUAAGGCACAAAUCUUCUUCAGAGCAACAACAACAACAACUGGAGCCGCUACAACAAUGCUCAAGGCCUCAAACCUCUUCAUCGUGUUGGCAAUACUUUGAGUUUGAGUCUCUUCCCUGCGGCGGAAUCGGAGGCGGCGCGUGAUGGUGGAAGGGAGGUCGGGGCGGCGGGUGAUGGUGGAAGGGAGGCCAAAGCGGAGCAUGAUGGUGGAAGGGUGGCCUGGGUGGCACUAGGUGUGGCAUCGGAAGCCUUCUCCAAGGAGUGGCGGCUUGCGAAGAAAAACGACGAUUUGAAUCGGACUGAAUCGUUUGGAAUUGGAGAGGGCUGUUGCAAAAAAAGAAUUUCUAUAUACGUUGUAGAAGUUAUUUCGGGACACGAUAUUUAGGAACUGAGGAAACUCACAUGAAAAUGAAGCAGAAUAAAAUAUGCCUAACAUUGUACGAAAAUAUGUGAUUAGCAUCGAGGAGUAGUUAUUUGUGAAUGGAGUAUAUACAUUUGAAUAUAAAAUAAUUAUGUGA